rnacentral:rRNA from 1 species
AAAAGAACCCCGGCGAGGGGAGUGAAAAAGAACCUGAAACCGUGUACGUACAAGCAGUGGGAGCCUCUUUAUGGGGUGACUGCGUACCUUUUGUAUAAUGGGUCAGCGACUUAUAUUCUGUAGCAAGGUUAACCGUAUAGGGGAGCCGAAGGGAAACCGAGUCUUAACUGGGCGUUAAGUUGCAGGGUAUAGACCCGAAACCCGGUGAUCUAGCCAUGGGCAGGUUGAAGGUUGGGUAACACUAACUGGAGGACCGAACCGACUAAUGUUGAAAAAUUAGCGGAUGACUUGGGGCUGGGGGUGAAAGGCCAAUCAAACCGGGAGAUAGCUGGUUCUCCCCGAAAGCUAUUUAGGUAGCGCCUCGUGUAUUCAUCUUCGGGGGUAGAGCACUGUUUCGGCUAGGGGGUCAUCCCGACUUACCAACCCGAUGCAAACUGCGAAUACCGAAGAAUGUUAUCACGGGAGACACACGGCGGGUGCUAACGUCCGUCGUGAAGAGGGAAACAACCCAGACCGCCAGCUAAGGUCCCAAAGUCAUGGUUAAGUGGGAAACGAUGUGGGAAGGCACAGACAGACAGGAUGUUGGCUUAGAAGCAGCCAUCAUUUAAAGAAAUCGUAAUAGCUAACUGGUCGAGUCGGCCUGCGCGGAAGAUGUAACGGGGCUAAACCAUGCACCGAAGCUGCGGCAGCGACACUAUGUGUUGUUGGGUAGGGGAGCGUUCUGUAAGCCGUUGAAGGUGUAUCGUGAGGUAUGCUGGAGGUAUCAGAAGUGCGAAUGCUGACAUAAGUAACGAUAAUGCGGGUGAAAAACCCGCACGCCGGAAGACCAAGGGUUCCUGUCCAACGUUAAUCGGGGCAGGGUGAGUCGACCCCUAAGGCGAGGCCGAGAGGCGUAGUCGAUGGGAAACAGGUUAAUAUUCCUGUACUUGGUGUUACUGCGAAGGGGGGACGGAGAAGGCUAUGUUAGCCGGGCGACGGUUGUCCCGGUUUAAGCAUGUAGGCGGAGGUUCCAGGUAAAUCCGGUACCUUUUUAACGCUGAGGUGUGAUGACGAGGCACUACGGUGCUGAAGUAACAAAUGCCCUGCUUCCAGGAAAAGCCUCUAAGCAUCAGGUAACACGAAAUCGUACCCCAAACCGACACAGGUGGUCAGGUAGAGAAUACCAAGGCGCUUGAGAGAACUCGGGUGAAGGAACUAGGCAAAAUGGUGCCGUAACUUCGGGAGAAGGCACGCUGAUAUGUAGGUGAAGCGGUUUACCCGNNNNNNNNNNNNNNNNNNNNNNNNNNNNNNNNNNNNNNNNNNNNNNNNNNNNNNNNNNNNNNNNNNNNNNNNNGAACUCGGGUGAAGGAACUAGGCAAAAUGGUGCCGUAACUUCGGGAGAAGGCACGCUGAUAUGUAGGUGAAGCGGUUUACCCGUGGAGCUGAAAUCAGUCGAAGAUACCAGCUGGCUGCAACUGUUUAUUAAAAACACAGCACUGUGCAAACACGAAAGUGGACGUAUACGGUGUGACGCCUGCCCGGUGCCGGAAGGUUAAUUGAUGGGGUUAUCCGUAAGGAGAAGCUCUUGAUCGAAGCCCCGGUAAACGGCGGCCGUAACUAUAACGGUCCUAAGGUAGCGAAAUUCCUUGUCGGGUAAGUUCCGACCUGCACGAAUGGCGUAAUGAUGGCCAGGCUGUCUCCACCCGAGACUCAGUGAAAUUGAACUCGCUGUGAAGAUGCAGUGUACCCGCGGCAAGACGGAAAGACCCCGUGAACCUUUACUAUAGCUUGACACUGAACACUGGUCCUUGAUGUGUAGGAUAGGUGGGAGGCUUUGAAGUGUGGACGCCAGUCUGCAUGGAGCCAUCCUUGAAAUACCACCCUUUAAUGGCUGGUGUUCUAACGUGGACCCGUAAUCCGGGUUGCGGACAGUGUCUGGUGGGUAGUUUGACUGGGGCGGUCUCCUCCUAAAGAGU